rnacentral:rRNA from 1 species
GACGAACGCUGGCGGCGUGCCUAACACAUGCAAGUCGAACGGGGCCAGGGGCAACUCUGGUUCAGUGGCGGACGGGUGCGUAACACGUGAGGAACAUGACCUUCGGCGGGGGAGUAGCCGGCCCAACGGCCGGGUAAUACCGCGUACGACCUUUCAGGGACAUCCCUGGUUGGUGAAAGCAGCAAUGCGCCGAUGGAGUGCCUCGCGGCCUAUCAGCUAGUUGGUGAGGUAACGGCNCACCAAGGCGACGACGGGUAGCUGGUCUGAGAGGAUGGCCAGCCACAUUGGGACUGAGACACGGCCCAGACUCCUACGGGAGGCAGCAGUGGGGAAUAUUGCGCAAUGGACGAAAGUCUGACGCAGCGACGCCGCGUGUGGGAUGACGGUCUUCGGAUUGUAAACUUCUUUAUCUGGGACGAAACCCAUCCAUUAUUGGGUGAUUGACGGUACCAGAGGAAUAAGCA